ACAACAGUGCCAGAGAUGUUCACAGCCACUCCGGGACAGCGGAGGGCCUCCUGUCUCCCAGCACUGCUCCUGGGAAAGCUCUGCCUGAGGCACACAAGAGUGAGGAAAAAGGCAGCUUGGUUCCAGCCAGGGAUGGAAAUUAUUCUGGCAAGGUGUUCAUGAACCAGAAGGUGAAAACCUGUUGGUAUCAGCAGGAGAAAGAGACUAAAGAGGCAGAUGGUGUCAGUUAAGCAAGCUGGGAUCACAAGGCUGCUUCUUUCUGAAUGAUUAUCAGCUGAUGGAAGUGGCUGAUUGUGGCUGCUAAGGGGAGUGUGGUGACCAGCCCAGGGGGACCAACGGGAUGGGGAUGCUGCAGAGGCUUCAGCUGACAUUGGGAACCAUGGGACAGACUCCUUUGUUGAGUGGGUUUCCAAUGUGAACUGGUGUGUUUGUGGUGAUGGAUGUCACACAGACAUUUUCCAUCUGAUGUGACAAAAAACUACCCUGCUUUCUCCCUGCCUCACCGACACAGAAAGUCACCCAGACAUACAUGUCCACUCUUAAAAUACAGAUGGGUCAUACAAAACA